GCCCACUUCUUUGUCUGGGAAGCCGAGGGCUGGAAUUCCGUUCGGACGGCCCCUUAAAGACCCAGACAGGGGACGCCUCUGGUUUCAGCAGCUUCCUCGGCGGAGUUAUUGAUUGCAGGCAGCAACAAUCCCUCCGGGUGAUUUGGGUGGAAAGUGAAUCCGCGCUGGCUGGGCGUUCUCAGAGGCGCAACAGCCGCAACGCCAUCCAAUUAUUGCCGGUCGUCCCCUCCAACACCGCUCUCCACCUCCAGACUCCGCUCCCUGCCCAGCGCCACUUCCCCCCACCCACUUUUCUCAGAGCGGACCGACCUACCUAUUCCUUCUCAGCCCGUCUCCGCUUCCCCCCCACCCACUUUCCUUGGUGCGGACGGAGCCGAGGGGGCGGGGGCUCCCUCCCGGGAGCGUUUCUAGAGCUCGGAGGCAGCUAGUAGGGGUUUCAUUGUCCACAUGUUUAAAGUCUAACAGAAAAAAACAUCACUGGAUGUGAAGUUGGAGGACAGAUCCAAGUCUACAUCUACAUCCUCAUGUUGGUGACCUUGGGGCACCACUUUCAGAUAAAAACAUAGACCUGAAUGGCAUCAUCCAGUAUCCAAGGAAACCAUAUGACUCAUGGAGAUGAAGGUUUUCAAGAAGGAUUUCCAGACUAAAGAUCGGCUAUAAGGAGUAGAAUACUAAGGUCUCUAAGUCCACUGCUGACAGGAAAAUCUUCAGUGGUUCCAGAGACAAGCUGCUGGAAAUCCUGCACAUUUAUCUUCUAAAAGGAAGUAAACUGAUUAGGAUAGUGGUCCCUUCAGAAAGAACCUCCCCUAAAACUUUAAAGGACUCCAAAUUAAGCCAUGUCCAUAUCUGGGACCCUAAAGUGGCUCAUAAAAGUUAGGGACCGCCUGCUUAAUGUUAGGUGAUUGCAAAAGCUUUAAGAUUCAAAGGGGGGAGUGAAGGUGGGGAAGGUGAUGGUGAAUAAAUUGUGAGAGCCUCCCAAAUAACAGGAUGUCUCUUUAAUUCCAAGCCUCAUGUUCUAUCUCAUAUUGUAUCUUUCAAUUAAAAAAAAAAAAGGAAAA